rnacentral:rRNA from 1 species
UACGUAGGGGGCUAGCGUUGUCCGGAUUUACUGGGCGUAAAGGGUGAGUAGGCGGUUAUGUAUGUCAGAUGUAAAAGGCGUGGGCUUAACUUACGUUAGCAUUUGAAACUGCAUAACUUGAGUGCGGGAGAGGUAAGUGGAAUUCCUAGUGUAGCGGUGAAAUGCGUAGAUAUUAGGAGGAACACCAGUGGCGAAGGCGACUUACUGGACCGUAACUGACGCUGAGUCACGAAAGCGUGGGUAGCAAACAGG